CUACUAUCUGGAAAUUUAUUAUUUCUCAUACAUACAAACAUCAAAUCAUUAUGUUAUGUGCCUGAAACUAAAAUAAUGUCAAUUGAAUCUUAAUUUUUCAAAAUUCUAUUGCAUUUAGGGAUGCCCAGGUGGCUCAGCAGUUGAGCGCCUGCCUUCGGCCCAGGGCAUGAUCCUAGAGUCCUGGGAUUGAGUCCCACAUCAGGCUCCCUUGCAGAGCCUGCUUCUCUCUCUGCCUGUGUCUCUGCCUCUCUCUCUCUCUCUCUCUCUGUCUCUCAUGAAUAAAUAAAUCUUUUUUAAAAAUUCUAUUGCAUUUAAAUGACUAGCAGACAUAUGUUACCAGCUGAUGUUAUCCAGUGUAGAGAAGUACUGAACAGCACAAAGGAAAUAUGAUGAAGACCUAAGAUCAUGUCCAAAAAAUACAGCACCUUUCUUUAUCCCUCAGCUGAAAUGACAAACACUAAGUUGCUUUGGGUUAGAAAUGAAAGGCAAUCAACCUAAGAAAAAUGACGAUAGCCUGGUCCUCGGGCUCCAGGGCAGAGGUGAACAAGUGAAGAGUGCACAGGGCAGGCAUGCAGGUGGCCUUCAGCAUCCCCUGGAACAUGGGAUUCGGACCCUCCAGGGUUCUGUUUCUUUUCUCCGCAUCUUCUUUACUCAUCACCUUCUUCUCAUCUUCUAGGAGCUGUUCAGAGGCUCAACUGCCAAUUGAUCCCCAGUCUCACAACUUGAAAUCUCCACCAAUUUCCAAGGGGAGAACUCUGAGUGGACCCUGCUUGGGUCAAUCAACUUAAGCCAAGAGAGCAAGAUUGCUCAACUAGAACUGCCUAUUUACAGUGUACAUAUGUCCGGCAAGCAAAAAAGUGAGAAACAGAAGGAAAAGGGGGGAGAUAUUUAUCAUGGGGUAGUUCCAAAGAUAGAGAAAGUGCUAUUCCUAAAAAAUAGGUGGUGGUGGUGAUAGGGCUUCCAGGCAAACUAAAAAAUUUGUCAUGUUCCUACCAGCAUCUCAUUAGAUGCUGGAAAGAAAACAUUGUGAUCGUCCAGACACAUUCCAGAGUAAAAAUUGACUUUUUGUUUUUAUUUUUUUGUGGGCAUCUCUUUCAUUGUGAGACAGGUCACUGGUCCAGAAAUUGAUAGUCUUUAGUGGUCUGUGACAAUGAACAGAGCAUCGGUCAGUUCACUAGUUCAUCACCUGGAGAAAGUUUCUAAACUGUAAAUGCCUGGGACACAAUGAUACUAAUGGUUUUGCUGAUUCCCUGGCCUCCCUCUGCAGGAGAUUUCACUUUCUGCUAUCAGCUGAGCAAAAUGUUCUGGAAUUUAUACUUCUCCUCUGGUUAAUUCUUCAGAGUCAAGAAAACUCAAAAUCAGUCUAUGACAAGGGUAAAAGGAACAUUUUUUUAGAAAGUCUGAGGAGCACUGUUGACAUCAGCUCAAAUGUGCGAUUUCUUUUAUUACUCAUUAUGAAUCAGUCACCCACUAAUUUGCCUUCAGAGCUGCCUAUAUUUCAAAGUGACAUCAAUUCUUAGAAUAUAAUGUAACACUCAUGACUAAAAUGUAAUUUAUGUUUCUUGAGAUACCUCUUUCAAGCAGUAGUAAGACAGGGUCACAGAUACUUGAUCAUCCUCUUAUUAAAAAAAAAAAAAAGU
rnacentral:lncRNA from 1 species